rnacentral:rRNA from 1 species
CGGGGGGGCAAGCGUUGUUCGGAAUUACUGGGCGUAAAGGGCGCGUAGGCGGCUCGCUAAGUUGGAUGUGAAAACUCUGGGCUUAACCCAGAGCCUGCAUCCAAAACUGGCAAGCUGGAGUACUGGAGGGGAAAGCGGAAUUCCUGGUGUAGCGGUGAAAUGCGUAGAUAUCAGGAGGAACACCGGUGGCGAAGGCGGCUUUCUGGACAGUAACUGACGCUGAGGCGCGAAAGCUAGGGGAGCAAACAGGAUUAGAUACCCUGGUAGUCCUAGCCCUAAACGAUGGAUACUUGGUGUGAGGGGGAUUGAAUCCCUUCGUGCCGUAGCUAACGCAAUAAGUAUCCCGCCUGGGGAGUACGGUCGCAAGGCUG